CAGACCUGUAAUCGGAAAAGACUACCCGCUGAGUUUAAGCAUAUCAUUAAGCGGAGGAGAAGAAACUAACCAGGAUUUCC
rnacentral:rRNA from 1 species